rnacentral:rRNA from 1 species
CCUAAAGGAACGUUUAAGACUAAGACGUUGAUAGGUUGGGUGUGUAAGCGUAGCGAUACGUUGAGCUAACCAAUACUAAUGAACCGUGAGGCUUAACCUG